rnacentral:snRNA from 1 species
GUGCUCGCUUCGGCAGCACAUAUACUAAAAUUGGAACGAUACAGAGAUUAGCAUGGCCCCUGUGCAAGGAUGACAUGCAAAUUCGUGAAGCGUUCCAUAUUUUU